rnacentral:lncRNA from 1 species
UGGGCUUUGUAGUUGGGCAUCUUGGGCUUGAUUUCUCAUAGUACCUCCUAAUGAGCUGAGAGCUGUGAAGGAUUUAUCUUUCUGAAUCCUUUUCCUCUUUGGUAAAAUGGGAAUACUACUGCCUAGUAGGGAGUCUACUUUCUCUCCCAAAGCUGGAAGCAGGCACAUAAUGUCAGGUUUUGUGGCAUCGUGUGGGAAUGUUCCCCUCUGACUUUAAAUGGAAGGAAGAUGACGGCUUGACCACAUAUUAUCCCCUCCACCCAUGCCGUUUCGGAAAUGCAGCAACCCAGAUGUGGCUUCUGGCCCUGGAAAAUCACUGAAGUAUAAAAGACAGCUGAGUGAGGAUGGAAGACAGCUAAGGCGAGGGAGCCUGGGAGGAGCCCUGACUGGGAGGUACCUCCUUCCAAACCCGGUGGCGGGACAGGCCUGGCCGGCCUCUGCAGAGACGUC